rnacentral:piRNA from 1 species
UUGAUAGUUUCAGCGGAUCCCAA